CCUACGGGGGGCAGCAGUGAGGAAUAUUGGUCAAUGGACGAGAGUCUGAACCAGCCAAGUAGCGUGAAGGAUGACUGCCCUGUGGGUUGUAAACUUCUUUUAUAAAGGAAUAAAACGAGGCACGUGUGCCUUUUUGCAUGUACUUUAUGAAUAAGGAUCGGCUAACUCCGUGCCAGCAGCCGCGGUAAUACGGAGGAUCCGAGCGUUAUCCGGAUUUAUUGGGUUUAAAGGGAGCGUAGGUGGGUUGUUAAGUCAGUUGUGAAAGGUUGCGGCGCAACCGUAAAACGGCAAUUGAUACUGGCAGUCUUGAGUACAGUAGAGGUAGGCGGAAUUCGCGGUGUAGCGGUGAAAUGCUUAGAUAUCACGCAGAACCCCGAUUGCGAAGGCAGCUUACUAAACUGUGACUGACAUUGAUGCUCGAAAGUGUGGGUAUCAAACAGGAUUAGAUACCCGAGUAGUC
rnacentral:rRNA from 1 species